rnacentral:rRNA from 1 species
UGCCAGCCGCCGCGGUAAGACGAACCGUCCAAACGUUAUUCGGAAUCACUGGGCUUAAAGCGCACGUAGGCGGUUUGGUAAGUUGGAUGUGAAAGCCCGGGGCUCAACCCCGGAAGUGCACCCAAAACUGCCAGACUAGAAUCUCGGAGGGGGUCGGAGAAUUCCCGGUGUAGAGGUGAAAUUCGUAGAUAUCGGGAGGAAUACCAGUGGCGAAGGCGCCGACCUGGACGAUGAUUGACGCUGAGGUGCGAAAGCAUGGGGAGCGAACAGGAUUAGAUA